GUCUCAUGAGAUCUGAUGGUUUUAUAAAUGUCUGGCGUUUCUCGUGCUUGCACUCAUUCUUUCUCCUGCUGCCCUGUGAAGAGGUGCUUUAUGCCAUGAUUGCUUAGCAUCUAAACCUAAGAGCAAGGUUACUAGCUUUGAUUUAAUGAAAGCGAAUAUUAAAAUCAGAUCAAAGGAAGAAGAAAAAAAUGGCAAUCAACAGAAUUUCAGGUCUCAAUGGGGGAAUGAAGAUAGUAUAUAUAGAUUAAGUUCUCAUAAAAUACUAGAAGAUUCAGUCAAACUGCAUUUGUGGAACUGCACUGUGGAAUUUCACCUGAGGAGCCCCAUCUGUAUGAGGGGCUGAUUUAGCAGAGAGGUUCUGGAUUUCAAGCCAAUGCCAUUAUGUGAUGAGAUUUUGAGGCUCCUGGAAAGAGGUUAAUAGUCCAGUCAGUCAGAGCUGGUGAAGUAGACUUGCUGUAGAAGGUGUGAAGGCCCAGUCCUCCCUCCACGUUUCUCCACCCUUGAAAGGUCGUGUGCAUGUCUGUUCACCCAUGAAAGAAGAGGAAGACACCAAAUGGAUGGCAUUGAUUUCAUUUUAACCACGUAAGAUGUGCCUGCUUCCCUUCGCCUUCUGCCAUGAUUGUAAGUUUCCUGAGGCCUCCACAACGAUGCUUUCUAUAGAGCCUGUGGAACAGAAACAAGAUGUAUUCAAACCGACUGGGAAAUACUGCAUCUUAGCUACAACCUAUCAGCUACUGAGAGGAAUGUUUUAAAAUCCAUGUCCACGUGCAGAAACUUUCUUCAUUUUGAAUUAGUGUUGUCAGCUGCUUCUUGUAAUUCUCUUACUUUUGUCAUUUAAAAUCUAUAUUAAGUGCAAACUAUUUAGAAUUAUGUAAUCCUUAUGAUUUAAAAUUUUAAAUUAGCUGUGUUUCAAUUUAUCUUCAGUAAUUUUUUUAAAGUCUAUUAUGUUUGAUAGUAGACUAUAUAUAGCUAUAUCUGAUUGUUACAACCCUUAAUUUUUAAUAUUUCUGAUUAUUUAUGUUUAAAAAGUGUCUCUUAUAAAUUCAAUAUAGUAAAUCUUUUUAAUCCAAUGUGAAAAUACCUGUUUUAACUGAUAAUUUUACUUAAUAUUUACUGUUUAUCAAUAUACUUGCAUUUAGUAUUAUUAGACCUAGCUUUCAAUAUAUAUGUUGCUUUUUCUUUUUAAUAUUAGAGUACCUCAUUUGAAAUGCUUGAGAUAUUUAUAUAUGUGUUGCUCUACUGGUUUGUAAGUUAUACCUUGAUUUUUAAUCAAUGGCCAUAAACAUUUAACAUGCAUAUUUAGCUAUGUCUAAAGUAAAUUAAUAUUUCUAAGCUUCUUCUGAACAAUUUAGUAAUUUUUUUACACCCAACAACUUUUUCAGUUUACAUAUUAUUGUUUCCCAGUCUUUUAAUUGUAGCAGAACAAUUUUGGUUUUAGCCCCCAAAUUAUUAUUACCAUUGCAUUAUACAUUUAUUGCUUGUUUAGAUGCAUCCACAUAUUUAUGAUUUUCUUAGGUCAUCAAUCUAGGUUGUCUUCUGGAUUUUAUUAUUUUUUCUGUCGACAGUCUACUUAAAUUUAUUUGUUUCUGUGAUGGGCCUAGAGAUUGACAGAGCACACUAAUUAUUGGGUUUCUAAGUCAUCUUAUACUUGAGAAGCUUCAGCUCAGUGCACAAGCCUCUGUCUAUUACAGACAAAUCACUGCCAUGCCAUCCUCUGAAACUCUAAGAAUUUAAGAAACUCUAAGAAUUUAAAAGUGAUUUAACCCCAAAAGUAGUGGAUAAUUUUGAUACUAGCUCUUCCCUGCCUUCACCUCCACCUCCACCUCUUGCCUCCCAUUCAUGAUCCCCCCCAUUCCUUUAUUGACAAUGUCAGAUACAAAAGAAGUUCCUCUUCAAAGGUUUGGCUUGUUAAGCACCCUUGUUCUUUGUUCUCUACUUCCAAGGGCAGACAAACUUCCUUAUCCUUUGUGCCUGUCUUAGUUUCAGUAAACAACCUUCCCACUGGUCCUUAUCUACAGAGACCACAUCUGCUACCCACUCUAUAAAUUACUCCUACUGUCACAAUAGCUCUUCCCACC
rnacentral:lncRNA from 1 species